rnacentral:rRNA from 1 species
UGGGGAAUUUUGCACAAUGGGGGAAACCCUGAUGCAGCGACGCCGCGUGAUUUAGAAGGCCUUCGGGUUGUAAAAAUCUUUUGUAUGGGAAGAAAAUGACAGUACCAUACGAAUAAGGACCGGCUAAUUCCGUGCCAGCAGCCGCGGUAAUACGGAAGGUCCGGGCGUUAUCCGGAUUUAUUGGGUUUAAAGGGAGCGUAGGCUGUCUAUCAAGCGUGUUGUGAAAUUUACCGGCUCAACCGGUGGCUUGCAGCGCGAACUGGUCGACUUGAGUAUGCAGGAAGUAGGCGGAAUUCAUGGUGUAGCGGUGAUAUGCUUAGAUAUCAUGACGAACUCCGAUUGCGCAGGCAGCUUACUGUAGCAUAACUGACGCUGAUGCUCGAAAGUGCGGGUAUCAAACAGG